UACUAGAGUAGCACUCGCAUAUCAAUAGCGGAGGAAAAGAAACUAACAAGGAUUCCCCUAGUAACGGCGAGUGAAGCGGGAAGAGCUCAAAUUUGAAAUCUUAAAGGGUUUCCCUUUACGAAUUGUAGUUUAAAGAAGUGUUUUCUGUUGAGGUUUUGGUAAAAGUUCUUUGGAAUAGGACAUCAUAGAGGGUGAGAAUCCCGUAUUUGACCUUUACUUUCAACUUUGUGAUACACUUUCAAAGAGUCGGAUUGUUUGGGAAUGCAGUCCAAAAUGGGUGGUAAAUUUCAUCUAAAGCUAAAUAUUGGCGAGAGACCGAUAGCGAACAAGUACCGUGAGGAAAGAUGAAAAGAACUUUGAAAAGAGAGUUAAACAGUACGUGAAAUUGUCAAAAGGGAAGCGUUUGACACCAGUGUUGUUUUUCUGAAAAUCAAUUAAAGAACUGUUUAUGCUAAGCUGUUUAGACUUUAUCAGCUAUCUGCUUUAGUUUUGAGCUUUUCUUUAAUGCACUUUUCAGUUAACAAGUCAACAUCAAUUUCUUUUGCUGUAAAAAAGCUUGAGGAAGGUGGCUUGAGAUUCGUCUUAAGUGUUUAUAGCCUCUUGCCUAUGCAGUCGGAGAGAUUGAGGUCUGCAGCGUAGAUCCUUCGGGGCUAAAUGCAUUUGUGCUAAGUUAUAGCAUUUUAUAGACAACUUGUUGACUAUGAUUUGUCUUGUAGCUUACUCGCUUAUGUUAUUUUACCUACGCUUAGGAUGUUGAACUCUAUCACACACAG
rnacentral:rRNA from 1 species